rnacentral:rRNA from 1 species
AGUGAACGCUGGCGGUAGGCCUAACACAUGCAAGUCGAACGGCAGCACAGUAAGAGCUUGCUCUUACGGGUGGCGAGUGGCGGACGGGUGAGGAAUACAUCGGAAUCUACUUUUUCGUGGGGGAUAACGUAGGGAAACUUACGCUAAUACCGCAUACGACCUACGGUUGAAAGCAGGGGAUCUUCGGACCUUGCGCGAUUGAAUGAGCCGAUGUCGGAUUAGCCAGUUGGCGGGGUAAAGGCCCACCAAGGCGACGAUCCGUAGCUGGUCUGAGAGGAUGAUCAGCCACACUGGAACUGAGACACGGUCCAGACUCCUACGGGAGGCAGCAGUGGGGAAUAUUGGACAAUGGGCGCAAGCCUGAUCCAGCCAUACCGCGUGGGUGAAGAAGGCCUUCGGGUUGUAAAGCCCUUUUGUUGGGAAAGAAAAGCAGCAGGUUAAUACCCCGCUGUUCUGACGGUACCCAAAGAAUAAGCACCGGCUAACUUCGUG